CGAAAGCCUGACGGAGCAAGACCGCGUGAGGGAGGAAGGCUCUUGGGUUGUAAACCUCUUUUCUCAAGGAAGAAGUCAGUGACGGUACUUGAGGAAUCAGCAUCGGCUAACUCCGUGCCAGCAGCCGCGGUAAUACGGGGGAUGCAAGCGUUAUCCGGAAUUAUUGGGCGUAAAGCGUUCGUAGGCGGUUUUAUAAGUCUGCUGUCAAAGUGCGGAGCUCAACUCCGUAAGAGCAGUGGAAACUGUGAGACUUGAGUGUGGUAGGGGUAGAGGGAAUUCCCAGUGUAGCGGUGAAAUGCGUAGAUAUUGGGAAGAACACCGGUGGCGAAAGCGCUCUACUGGACCACAACUGACGCUGAGGGACGAAAGCUAGGGGAGCG
rnacentral:rRNA from 1 species